AACGAACGCUGGCGGCAUGCCUAACACAUGCAAGUCGAACGAGACCUUCGGGUCGAGUGGCGCAAGGGUGCGUAACGCGUGGGAACCUGCCCUUAGGUUCGGAAUAACUCCCCGAAAGGGGUGCUAAUACCGGAUAAUGUCUUCGGACCAAAGAUUUAUCGCCUUUGGAUGGGCCCGCGUUGGAUUAGCUGGUUGGUAGGGUAAAAGCCUACCAAGGCGACGAUACAUAGCUGGUCUGUGAGGAUGAUCCGCCACACUGGGACUGAGACACGGCCCAGAAUCCUACGGGAGGGAGCAGUGGGGAAUAUUGGAAAAUGGGCUGAAGCCUGAUCCAGCAAUGCCGCGUGAGUGAUGAAGGCCUUAGGGUUGUAAAGCUCUUUUACCCGGGAUGAUAAUGACAGUACCGGGAGAAUAAGCUCCGGCUAACUCCGUG
rnacentral:rRNA from 1 species